ACAGGGUGACGAGGUGGUGCAUGGGUUGUCGUCAGCUCGUGUCGUGAGAUGUUGGGUUAAGUCCCGCAACGAGCGCAACCCUCGCCUCUAGUUGCCAGCAUUCGGUUGGGCACUCUAGAGGGGACUGCCGGCGACAAGUCGGAGGAAGGUGGGAUGACGUCAAAUCAUCAUGCCCCUUAUGACCUGGGCUACACACGUGCUACAAUGGGCGGUACAAAGGGCUGCGAACCCGCGAGGGGGAGCGAAUCCCAAAAAGCCGCUCUCAGUUCGGAUUGCAGGCUGCAACUCGCCUGCAUGAAGCCGGAAUCGCUAGUAAUCGCGGAUCAGCAUGCCGCGGUGAAUACGUUCCCGGGCCUUGU
rnacentral:rRNA from 1 species